GGCAGCGCAGGUAGCAAUACUGGGCGGCGACCGGCAANNNNNUGCGGAACACGUACACAACCUUCCGAGAAGUGGGGAAUAGCCCAGAGAAAUUUGGAUUAAUACCCCGUAACAUAACGAUGUGGCAUCACAUUGUUAUUAUAGCUUCGGCGCUUCUUGAUGGGUGUGCGGCUGAUUAGAUAGUUGGCGGGGUAACGGCCCACCAAGUCUACGAUCAGUAGCUGAUGUGAGAGCAUGAUCAGCCACACGGGCACUGAGACACGGGCCCGACUCCUACGGGAGGCAGCAGUAAGGAAUAUUGGUCAAUGGACGCAAGUCUGAACCAGCCAUGCCGCGUGAAGGAUUAAGGUCCUCUGGAUUGUAAACUUCUUUUAUCUGGGACGAAAAAAGGCGAUUCUUCGUCACUUGACGGUACCAGAUGAAUAAGCACCGGCUAACUCCGUGCCAGCAGCUGCGGUAAUACGGAGGGUGCAAGCGUUAUCCGGAUUCACUGGGUUUAAAGGGUGCGUAGGCGGGCAGGUAAGUCAGUGGUGAAAUCCUAGAGCUUAACUCUAGAACUGCCAUUGAUACUAUCUGUCUUGAAUAUUGUGGAGGUAAGCGGAAUAUGUCAUGUAGCGGUGAAAUGCUUAGAUAUGACAUAGAACACCUAUUGCGAAGGCAGCUUACUACGCAUAUAUUGACGCUGAGGCACGAAAGCGUGGGGAUCAAACAGGAUUNNNUACCCUGGUAGUCCACGCCCUAAACGAUGAUUACUCGACAUUGUGAUACACUAUAAGUGUCUG
rnacentral:rRNA from 1 species